rnacentral:misc_RNA from 1 species
AACGAGGCCGACCUGCGGCUGAGUUACCUGCGGAGGGAUCAUUAUUAUGCGCACUAUGCGCGCUGAGGGGGUUUGGUUUUGUGGAGGUCGAGAACUCCCUUACGGGAUGAGCUCUCUCCUCGACCAGCCCUGACCUCUAUACCCAUGAUUUUUGCGUACCUAUUGUUUCCUCGGCAGGCUUGCCUGCCAGUAGGACCCUUUUAAAAACCCAUUGCAGUUGCAGUCAGCGUCAGAUAAACU